UUUAUUAGCCUCCCACGUAGUUUCCUACAAGCACCCAAUCCUGUUUUCACCCAAAGACGUGCUUAAUCUCCCUGUGAGCCCAUGUUAUCAGUCCCUUUUUCUUUAAGAGAUGAAACGAUUGGCUACCGAAGUUUUCUAAAAUGCCUGAGGGUUCCAUCAGUAUAAAGCCAGGAGAUGGACUUGAUAAAUCACAUAGAACAAUUUGUCCUCAUCCACCCUUUGCCUCUAACUCCUUUGCCUUUUCAUAGGUGUUUCCCUUUGUCUACAAUGCCACUCAGUCUUUCUUCAAUGAGGUUGUGUCUGUUCUUCAUUCAAGACUCAAGUCUUAGGUCAUUUCUUCUGGGAAGACUUCCUUGACUCUUCUCCUUAUACAUGGAAGUCCCUCAAGUGGGAAGAACAGCUUCUGAGUCCCAAGAACAAUGGGAAAACGUUUUCAGACUGUUGUCAUCUCAUCAUUGGAUCUGGAAAAUGACACUUGUGUCUCAAUAGGCCAGAAGCUUUCUGUUUGCUCUGCGCACCUGAUAACAGCACACUCCCUGCAUUGCACGCUAUGGAGAAAUGACGACCGAGACGGCACCAAAGGGCCUCAGCAAUUUGCAACGCUGACUGACGGAGCAGCCCUGGACAGCUGGGCUUCCUUGAAUGAGACUCCCUCCCUGGAAGUACACAGGUCUGCGUGACACCACUUGCUGGCGGCUGCAAGGGACGGGGAACUUGUGAGGACAGGGUCGCCUUUAGUUGUUUAUGUAGUGCCAAGGGGUCCCACCACCUCUUUUGGACUCAGAGUUUCCUAUCAAAACACACUCCCUAGAAUAGCUGAUGCAAAUUCCAUAGUAAGGGCUUAAUUUAAUACAAACUUCAUUACAGUCACAUCUUCCAUCUAGAUUUUAUUUCUUGACACCGUUUUCUUUGUGGGCAACUGUUAUCGGCAAAAGUCUUCACGGCCUGACCAGAUCCACGGGAAAAGAUAUCACGGGCACACACAUUUUUCUAGUCCUCUUCCUUUUAAAUGAGAAAUUCUGUAUAACAUUUUCCAUAAGUGAAAGAGAGGACUACUUCCUAGCUUUUUUUGGUUCUUUUUUUUUUUUUUUGAACAGCAGACCUUCCUUUUGGAUUUACAUCAGCAUUUAGCUAACUUCCUGAACACUUCACCCAUUUCCUGAACUUAUUCUGAGGAAGGAAAAACAUCCUCCUUCAGAAAUAAAUGCAAAUAAUCGCAGAGAUUAUUUUUUAUUAAAUAAAUCGUGUAAAUGCAAUGGAAUUUCCUGCACAAUGUGCAUUUACCAUUGGAUAUUUCUACAAAACUCUGUUGUGAUCCUGUAGGAACCAUCUCACUGACAGGUACUCUGAGGGAUUAUAACCAUUGUGUAGCUAUUCAAGAGUAAGUUCUGAACAGUUGGCAGUCUGUAUUCUUGUUAAAAAUAUUUUUUACUGAAAAAUCUGAACGCUAGGGGGAAUUGUUUGCUUUAGGUCCCCAAUUUGGAGGCUUUGUUUCUUUUAAAACAGGGUUCUUGUGACACCUCGUGGUGAAUAGGGGAAGAACAACUUCAGGGCAGAAUAUCGACUGCAUAGAGUGGGCCCAGUAGUUAGGAUUUUCUUGUUUCUGCAUUUCCUUGGGAGAAAACACACCCCUUCUCAGCCUGUCCUGCCCGGGAAUCCUGAGAAGUAGUGACAUGGAAACAGCAACAGUUAUGCAUUUCUGGAGAUGUUCUCUUCUCUUGAUUAGUAAUUCUUCAGAGGCAGCCCACCGCCUACGGCUAAACUGGUUCAAGUGGAAGAAUGAAUAAAAAAAUGUGAGACUUUUCAGAGGAAACACAUCAAUAUGUCAAGCUGGGGUCAGGCUUUUAAGUUUUUAAAUUUUUUAAAUGAAAAUAUUUUCUCUGUAUUUGUGAGCAGGCCUCCUCCCAUUUAGCCAUCUUAUAGUGGAGAAAAUGGUACUUGUCUGGUGAAUAAAUCUCAGGGGCAUCUUAGAGAUGUAUUUUAGGCUGGCUUCUCAUCAUUCAUGAAUGCUUUACAGGGCCCUUCUUAUGUUCUCUAGUGUUUGGCAGCAGUCGAUUUUUAAAGAGAGAGGUGAUAGGGAUCUGAGAGAGGCCGCUUGUCUGCCAUGUCUACCCCACCCCCGCCCAGCAGAAGUCCAUGCGGAACAGAUGGAUAUCUGCCCUCCUUGCAGCAUCCCCAAGAAGAGACCCCUUCAUCCAUCACUCAGACUGAUAUUUCUCUGUAGGUCCAAGGCCCCCAGAAUCUGGCCCCUUCCAGCAUCACCUCCCACCUCUUCCUCAAUAAUAGCCUACAUUCUAGUCAAUCCCACCCACCCACGUCCAGCUUCCUAUAUACCCCAAGCUGCCUGCCUCAUCCUUCUUGCUUUGUACAUGUCGGUCCCCUCAGCCAGAAGGCUCUUUCCCUGCACGACCCUGGGCCCAUUCUUCAAGAUCCUGUUGUGGGAGUGUUCUUUCCCAGGAGGCUUUUGUGAUCCAACCAAACAGAGCUGAUAAUGCCCUUCUGUCUGUCAUCUCUCAACCUAGCUCAAAUAUCUGUAACUGCACAUGUUCUACUACAUUCUGUUGUUUAUAUGUGUCUCUCCCCCAGAUGUCUACAAGCUUCUCAAGGACACGGACUGUUCUUAUACCUACCGUCCUUUACAUCAGCCAUUUGUGGUGAUAGCUUGUCCCACUUGGCUACAUUGUUUUGAUAGGAGCACAUUAGGUGUGGGGCAACAACUUCAAGGAAGAGUUGACAAUCAGGGGAGCGAGUCUUUGAACAUGUAUGGAACCUUUUAUUAUCCCAAAUGACCUCAACCUUCACCCCCUCUGAGCAGUAAGAUGGCUUCACAAAAAUAAUCUCUAAAUUCCUGCCUGGGCCCAAUACUGUAGGUUCUAUAACUGGGGAAGCUAUGAUCUAAAAAUUUGGGGUCUGUGCAGGGAGUCUAUAACUGUAUACAAAAUACUUAUGUACACGCGUCCUUUUUCUGGGGAGAUGCUCCAUAGCUUCAUAGAUGGGUCUAUGAUUUCAAAAGUUUAAAUACCACUGAUUAAGAAUUGCUAACCAAAAGGGCAAUCAUGAUGCUACAGGGUCAAUGGGAGCUGACACCUUGAGUGCUUCAGGAGAGAGGCUUAUAAGGCAGCAUAUGCCAAGCCCUGUUGUUUUUUACCCACUGCCCUUCACUAGAGUACACCUGCAGGUCUGAUCCACAGUUUAAAAAGAGAGGCUAAGAGGCUUGGCUGUGUUCCAUUUGUGCUACAUUAAUGUCCCCCUAGUCAGGUUCUAAAUGUAAGGCAAGGGUGUGGCCAGAACCCUUGCCAGCCCAAGAUUAUCUGUCUUUCCCCACAUAUAACAUUUUCCUUCUCUGGGAAAGCAACUGCCCAGAGCCCCAAGUUCUGCCCAAGUGAUCCAGGCUGAUCCCUCUGGGUAACAUCAGGAAACAUGCACAAGAAGCCUGACUACUAAAAAAUUCUGUCACUGUGGUCUGGGCCUGCCAAUUCCUAUGAUACUUUGGCUCCUUGAUAGGAGAUUCCAUCUGCAAAGUAAAUUGUGGCUGGCAGGGCAGACCUCAUGGGUAUGUGACCUGAACAGGUGUUCAGGGCCCCGUGCUUUAUUUAAUGCUCUACUGUUACCGUCUUGGAAUUCUUAAUAAUUUCUGAACAAAAGACCCCAUAUUUUUACUUCACACUUGUUUUCACAAAAUAUGCUGAGUUGCUGCAUAUACCUGAAACAGUACCACAUAGUGGAAAAAACAUAAGCCUUGAAUUUGACAGUUGGGGGUUCAUAUCCCCGUUCUGUAACUUCCUAGCUGUGUGAGCUUGAGUAGGUUACUUAACCUUUCUGAGCUUCACUAUUCUUAUAUAUAAAAUAUCCAAAAUGGUGGGGCACCUGGGUGUCUCAGUCAGUUGAGCAUCCAACUUCCCACUCAAGUCACGCUCUCUCAGUUCAUGAGUUCAAGCGCCACAUCGAGCUCGCUGCUGUCAUUGCAGACAGAGCCCACUUCAGCACCUCUGUCUCCUUCUCUCUUUGCCUCUACCUUGCUUGCGUUCUCUCAAAAAUAAAUAAAACAUUUUUAAAAAAUAAAAUAAAAUACCCCAAAUGGUGAUCAUAAUAUCUAACUUGUACAAUUGUUGAGGCAAUUAAACAGUAUGUAAUGCAGUAAUUGGUAAUGGUUUAUAAUAACAACAAUUAUUUGAAAGUAACUAAGUCAAGAAAGAAUAAAAUGCAUUAGUGUGAAAGGCAGAUCAAAAUGAAACAAAUAAGAAAGACAUACACACAGACUUUUAGAGCUGGGUCAAGUUGCUUCCACCUUUGCCCUUCCAUUGCAUUAGCACAUAGUACCUGUAGAACACUUAAAAAUACUGUAUUAUUAUUAAUCUUCCUUUAUUAGUAUAGUUUCCCCCUUUAAACUUCGAGGCCACUUGAGACCAGGGGUCCAUCUAUCUUUUAACAAGUAUUUUCAAUUCCUAGCACAAGGCCUGUCACGAAGUAGAUGUUUAAUAAGUAUUUGUUGAGAGAAUAAACUAGUUCAUUACAUCAUUUUAUAAUUGAGGAAGUGAGGCCCAGAGAAGUGAAGUGAGUUGCCAAAGCUCCCAGAGACUGUCCAUGGCAAAGCUAACACUGGAGCCCCCUCUGUUUGUUUUGAAGGGAUUGCCUAGGGGCCCCAUGUGGCCCCAGUCCUUGGAGCUAUUAGACACAGUCUGUACUGCUUGCCAAGUUGCAAUUAUCAGAUUACCUGGCAAAUGCUUGAGCCUUUUAUACAAGUACAUAUUUAUUUAUUUAUUCGGAGUAAAAAAUCAGAGGGGAAGAAUAGCCACUGGAGCUAGAAUAUGCUUGAGACUCUCCCAGGAAACUUCUGGAGAAAGCAAUCCAUCAGAUCACCUUCACUGAGCUCACUAUUCUGGGACUUUGCUUUCUCCUUCCCCAAGUGCUCCCAUUCAUGAGAUUCUCUUCUGUGAUGCUGAUGUCCUGGAUGUGAUUGAUUACCUGCUCCUAUCUGGGGGACCUGAGAGUGACCUUCUGGAUGCAUUUGUAAGGAACCAGCUUGGAAACAAAAACAAAACCUUGAAGGCAUCCUCUGGUUGGCCUGAGAUAAGGGGACCUCAGAGUCUUUUUUCAUUAGUCUAGCAAAACAAUCCAAACAAUAAAAAUCCAUAAGAAAAUAUUCUGCUUCCAGGGACUUAAAAGACACUCCUCAUUUCACCCACCCCAUCAACAUGACACCAUCCCUACUGCAGGAAAAACAAAUGUGUUUGUGGGAGGAGAGGAAGAGGGGAAAGAAGAGAAGGAAAGGAGAGGAACAGAGAAAGGGAGGAGGGAGGAGAGGUGGGAGGCAGGGAGAAGGUGAAGAAAUAGACAAAGACAGAGACAGACUGCAUAUACUUGGAGAGAGAUGAGGGACUAAUGUUUACCUGCGUGAUCCCAGGAGGCUAAAUCAAAUCAUCGGAAUGAGUCAAUGCAAAUCCCUUUGUCAAGCCCAACUGGUAUGUAAUCAUUCUUGUGUGGGGCAGGAGGGGU